rnacentral:tmRNA from 1 species
GGGGGUGUAUAACUUCGACAGGGUGAGCCGGUCGUGAUAUCAGCAUGUCGAGGAGGUGUGCUACCUCGUAAAUCCGUACACAACCGUAAAUGCAACUGCAUUUGCCCGCGUAAAGGAAGUCUUGGCGAACUUGUUCGUUCCGGCUACUUUCGCACCUGCUUACGCCUAAACGCGUGAGCCGUUUCCUCUUCUGAUUCCUAACCGGAAGAGAGAAGCGCCAUAUUGUUAGGAUGCCCGGCAGUAGCUUCCGUCAUUGCCGGUAAGCUAACGGAAGAACCAAGGUAAAAGGGGGUCUCUAGCUUUUUAUCUUGGUACUACUAGAGACUGAACAUGGAGAACCCUCAUCACCACCAUCUUGGACGCGAGUGUAAUUCUCGCCACCUCCACCA